UACGAAGGGGGGCUAGCGUUGCUCGGAAUUACUGGGCGUAAAGGGCGCGUAGGCGGCCUGCUAAGUCGGAUGUGAAAUCCCUCGGCUCAACCGAGGAACUGCAUCCGAUACUGGCGGGCUUGAAUCCGGGAGAGGGAUGUGGAAUUCCAGGUGUAGCGGUGAAAUGCGUAGAGAUGUGGAGGAACACCAGUGGCGAAGGCGACUCUUUGGCCUGUAACUGACGCUG
rnacentral:rRNA from 1 species